GACGAACGCUGGCGGCGUGCUUAACACAUGCAAGUCGAACGAAGUGGCGAACGGGUGAGUAAUACGUGGGUAACCUGCCCUCCUUUUUGGGAUAAGCCUUGGAAACGGGGUCUAAUACCGAAUAAAGGGGGAUGGGCCCGCGGCCUAUCAGCUUGUUGGUGGGGUGAAGGCCUACCAAGGCGGUGACGGGUAGCCGGCCUGAGAGGGUGACCGGCAACAUGGGGACGGAGAUACGGCCCAGACUCGUACGGGAGGCGGCAGUUGGGGAUAUUGCACAAUGGACGAAAGGCUAAUGCGUGGACGACGCGAGGGGGAUGAAGGCGUACGGGUUGUAAACCUCUUACGAUAUCGAACGGGUAGGUAGAGAAGAAGCGCCGGCUAACUACGUGCCAGCCGCCGCGGUAAUAC
rnacentral:rRNA from 1 species